rnacentral:lncRNA from 1 species
GUGAUUUUUAGCCCUGCUGGAAGUUACACUCUCUACAAGGGUAAAGCAAACUGGGAGGUGCUGGUUCUGGCUCCAGAGGGACUGGGGUCUGGGGCCUGUCACCUGGUCCUGCCUGUGUUUCCUGGGAGGAGGACCUGGUUGAUAGAAGAAUUUAUCUCGUAGUCUUAACAUCCACUGUAAUUCCAAACUUUGAGGACGAUAGAGAUCAGUGGGCUUUGACUGCCCAGCAUGCAGUCUCCAUUCUUAGGUGGGUUCCCAAGCCUGUAAAAUGUAAGCCUUAUGCUGCUGAGGGCCAUCUUGCCACCCUGAGGGAAACGCUGCCUGAGAAUGAAACAAGCAUAAGUAAAAGCUGAGCUGUGAGAUGGAGCAAGAUGAAGGCCACAUGACAUCUUUGGAGCACCUGGAUCUAACUGUGCCUUAAGCUAGUCUAACCCUGAACAUUUCAUCAUUUCAUUGACAUGAGCCCAGGUUUUCUUUUUUUUUGGAUGGAGUCUUGCUCUGUCGCCCAGGCUGGAGUGCAGUAGCUCAAUCUCGGCUCACUGCAAGCUCCACCUCCCGGGUUCACGCCAUUCUCCUGCCUUAGCCUCCCAAGUAGCUGGGACAACAGGCGCCCACCACCACUCCCAGCUAAUUUUUUGUAUUUUUAGUAGAGACGGGGUUUUACCAUGUUAGCCGGGAUGGUCUUGAUCUCCUGACCUCAUGAUCCGCCCGCCUCGGCCUCCCAAAGUGCUGGGAUUACAGGUGUGAGCCACUGCACCCAGCCCUCAGGUUUUCCCUUUUUUUACCCCUCCUUUUGAAAAUUUGAUGUGGAAUUUUGCCACCUGCAGCCAGAAGAGUUUUAACUAAUCAGUGCCAUAAAUUUUAUAUAGUUCUCCUUGCAAAAUGUGGAUCAGCCUUUCUCAGCAAAUCCUUUGUCAUAAAGUGCUGAAUUGUAAGUUUGUCAUGAGAAUCACAUGAGAUCAUGCAUGUGAAGAACCUGGCAUUAUCCUCCUCAUAGAAAAAAACCAGUAAAUAUUAACUACAGGAAGCAAGGAAGGAGUGGGGUGAGGGGAAGAAGAAGGGGUACUGAUUUAAAAGAACCCUGGAGUCCUAAGGAUAAUCUAGGAACCCUCAGACCCAAUCCGAUACCCCUAUUCUAAAUGCUCCUAGUGCCCUGUACCUUCCCCUCAUAAGCCUUCAUUAUCAUUGUAAUGAUAUGUUUAUGUAAUAUUUUGAUUAAUGUCUCUCCUUCACUGACCUAGCAGUUCUAGCAGGGCAGUGAUUUUGCUGUGUUGCAUCCCCAGCACCUAGUCUGGUAUGUGGCAUUCAGCAUAUGUUUAUUGAAUGAAUGGCCAUGUGGUUAUUCAGAUCCUCCUUGAUUAUUGGGGUUAGGAUUGUGGCAGAAGUGGCAAAAUCAGGGAGAGUAGUCCCUGUCCCCUCUGUAUCUUAUACACUGCCCACACUCCCAACACACAUACACAUACAGAGAAUUUUGUCUCAAUUAGAUAAUUAACUUCUGCUUGGUUGUAAACCAAACCACUGGUUCUUAAACUUUCAUUGGAUCAUUUUAUUGAAGAAUUAAAUAGUGUGGUUCUGGCCUAAUGUCUGGAAAGCCUUGCAGAGGAGUGGAUUAGGUCUUUGUGAUAAACAGGCAGCCUUCCCUGCUCCUGUGUCUUUAUAAAAUCUAUUUAACUGGAGUAGUCCACCCUCCCUCAGGCUCUUACAGGAAUAUGUUGGAGGCUGUAGGAAGGUGGGAAACCGAGAGGGAAAGGACUGGGCCGCUGGAGACUUCACUCAUUCCCUAGCAAGAAACAAAAGCAGUAAAAGGUGGCCCGAGGACAACCUGAAGCUCACUCCUUCAGCACUUUUGGCUGGAGGUCACUUGUUGGAGCCCCACUCAGAGCUCAGCACACCACCCCACCAGCAGCCUCCUCCUCCCAGCUGAGGCUGCAUUUCAUCCCUUCCCCCAGCCUGCUUUCCCUGAGAUAGGGGAGUGUUUCCCAGGGCCCAUGUGACUUCCACUGGCAAGUGACGAUUACCAAUGGUUUACUAGUCAGUGAAACUACCAAAGGCUUUUGUGCUGUAGUAAUCCUUUUCCUGUUUAAAACUCUGGGGAUUUUCUAAUGUUGCCAAUAGUUUUUCAAGUCAGCAAUUACUGUGUGGAUUAUGUAAUGGCUCGGUAUUAAAAAUAGAAAAGACUGGA